UCUUUGCAAAAUACCCGAGUCCGGUUUUUCUACGUGCAAUCAUAUGAAAAACGGACCGAUGGGUUUAACGGGAAACCGGUAAGCCUCCCGAUUUCCGCUGUUUUGCGGAAUGACUUGGAAAGGGAAAAUGACUUGCUUUUU
rnacentral:ncRNA from 2 species